AUUGAACGCUGGCGGCAUGCCUUACACAUGCAAGUCGAACGGUAACAGCACUUCGGUGGCUGACGAGUGGCGAACGGGUGAGUAAUACAUCGGAACGUGCCCGAGAGUGGGGGAUAACGCAGCGAAAGCUGUGCUAAUACCGCAUACGAUCUACGGAUGAAAGCAGGGGACCGCAAGGCCUUGCGCUCAUGGAGCGGCCGAUGGCAGAUUAGGUAGUUGGUGGGAUAAAAGCUUACCAAGCCGACGAUCUGUAGCUGGUCUGAGAGGACGACCAGCCACACUGGGACUGAGACACGGCCCAGACUCCUACGGGAGGCAGCAGUGGGGAAUUUUGGACAAUGGGCGAAAGCCUGAUCCAGCCAUGCCGCGUGCAGGAUGAAGGCCUUCGGGUUGUAAACUGCUUUUGUACGGAACGAAAAGGUCUUUUCUAAUAAAGAAGACUCAUGACGGUACCGUAAGAAUAAGCACCGGCUAACUACGUG
rnacentral:rRNA from 1 species